rnacentral:tRNA from 1 species
UGCGCGGUAGGGGAGAUGGAAACCCGUUGGCCUCAUAAGCCAAAGAUCGUCGGUUCGAGUCCGACCUGCGCAACCA